CCUACGGGGGGCAGCAGUGGGGAAUAUUGCACAAUGGGCGCAAGCCUGAUGCAGCCAUGCCGCGUGUGUGAAGAAGGCCUUCGGGUUGUAAAGCACUUUCAGCGGGGAGGAAGGCGGUGAGGUUAAUAACCUCAUCGAUUGACGUUACCCGCAGAAGAAGCACCGGCUAACUCCGUGCCAGCAGCCGCGGUAAUACGGAGGGUGCAAGCGUUAAUCGGAAUUACUGGGCGUAAAGCGCACGCAGGCGGUCUGUCAAGUCGGAUGUGAAGUCCCCGGGCUCAACCUGGGAACUGCAUUCGAAACUGGCAGGCUAGAGUCUUGUAGAGGAGGGUAGAAUUCCAGGUGUAGCGGGGAAAUGCGUAGAGAUCUGGAGGAAUACCGGUGGCGAAGGCGGCCCCCUGGACAAAGACUGACGCUCAGGUGCGAAAGCGUGGGGAGCAAACAGGAUUAGAUACCCCGGUAGUC
rnacentral:rRNA from 1 species